rnacentral:misc_RNA from 1 species
AAGUCGUAACAAGGUUUCCGUAGGUGAACCUGCGGAAGGAUCAUUAAUGAAAUGCGAGGACGCUCUCUUUAGAGGUCCGACCCAAUUCAUUUUCUUACACAGUGCACGCUACUACUUUUAAACAACGUUUUAACACUUAAAGUCUAAGGAUGUAAACAGUCUCUUGAUUGAGCAUAAAAUUGAAACAAAACUUUCAGCAACGGAUCUCUUGGCUCUCC